UCUUAUACAUGUCUAUGUAAAGAGGGGCUGGACUGGAUCAACUUGCUCUGAUGAUGUUAACGAAUGUCUUCUCAGCAAGCCCCUGUGUAAAUGGACAAUGUAUAAAUACCUUAGGAAGUUAUGUUUUGUUCAUGUGCAUCAGGAUACACAGGACAAAAUUGUGACCAAGAUAUUAAUGAGUGCUUGAGCAGUCCCUGUAGGAACGGUGCCAUCUGCAAUAACUUGGUGAAUGCAUUCUCCUGCUCCUGUGCGCCUGGCUAUACC